GACGAACGCUGGCGGCGUGCUUAACACAUGCAAGUCGAGCGGACAGGCCCUGCUUUUGUUGGGCGCUCGAGUGCCGCACGGGUGAGUAACACGCGAGUAACCUCCCCUUGUCUUUGGGAUAACUUCACGGAACUGGGGCUAAUACCGGAUAGGAGCUCCUGCUGCAUGGUGGUCGUUGGUAAGUUUCGGCUGUUGUGGCUGGACUCGCUGCUUAUCAGCUUGUUGGUCGGGUAGUGGCUUACCAGGGCUUUGACGGGUAGCCGGCCUGAGAGGGUGACCGGCCACAUUGGGACUGAGAUACGGACCAGACUCCUACGGGAGGCAGCAGUGGGGAAUAUUGCACAAUGGGCGGAAGCCUGAUGCAGCAACGCCGGGUGCGGGAUGACGGCCUUUGGGUUGUAAACCGCUUUCGCAUGUGACGAAGCGGGAGUGACGGUAAUGAGUAAAGAAGCAACGGCUAACUACGUG
rnacentral:rRNA from 1 species